UACGAAGGGGGCUAGCGUUGUUCGGAAUCACUGGGCGUAAAGGGUGCGUAGGCGGGUCUUUAAGUCAGGGGUGAAAUCCUGGAGCUCAACUCCAGAACUGCCUUUGAUACUGAAGAUCUUGAGUUCGGGAGAGGUGAGUGGAACUGCGAGUGUAGAGGUGAAAUUCGUAGAUAUUCGCAAGAACACCAGUGGCGAAGGCGGACUCACUGGCCCGAUACUGACGCUGAGGCACGAAAGCGUGGGAGCAACAGGGAUUAA
rnacentral:rRNA from 1 species